GCCAUUGCAACCAACAAAAUUGCCUUCUCUGUACCAAAUGUCUCGUACGCCCACGUCCUAAUACUACGUAUAAACUUGACAGCUGCCAUCCCAUUGUUUGCAAUUAAGAUACUAUUAAUAGGCCGCUUCCCACCAAGGGCAUUACAGAACUCAGCAACUUCAGCUCUAGCUAUGUAAGAUACUAUUAAUUGGCCGCUUCCCACCAAGGGCAUUACAGAACUCAGCAACUUCAGCUCUAGCUAUUGGAGACCUCAAUGGAAGUGCACCAUUGACGUG
rnacentral:lncRNA from 1 species